rnacentral:misc_RNA from 1 species
GACAUGUAUUACUUUAUUUUAUUUUCCAAUUUUAUAUAUAUUAUUUGACAUGGUUGAAGAUAGUUUUGCAACUUUCCUCCCUCUGAAAAUGCCUAGGGCUUAUAAAUCGAAUAAACUGGAGGACUUAGCUAACCACACUUCAAAACUGGCACUUUGAACUUCCUUGCUUAAUAAAUUAUUGUUUCUAUGAUGAUGAUGAUGAUGAUG